UACAGAGGGUGCGAGCGUUGUCCGGAAUCACUGGGCGUAAAGGGCGCGUAGGUGGUGGCUUAAGCGUGCGGUGAAAGCUCGGGGCUCAACCCCGAGUCGGCCGUGCGAACUGGGCUCACUGGAGCAUAGUAGAGGCAGGUGGAAUUCCGGGUGUAGCGGUGGAAUGCGUAGAGAUCCGGAAGAACACCGGUGGCGAAGGCGGCCCG
rnacentral:rRNA from 1 species